rnacentral:rRNA from 1 species
CGUGUAGGCGGUUUUUUUAAGUCUGAUGUGAAAGCCCCGGGCUCAACCUGGGAAGUGCAUUGGAAACUGGGAGACUUGAAUACGGGAGAGGGUAGUGGAAUUCCUGGUGUAGGAGUGAAAUCCGUAGAUAUCAGGAGGAACACCGGUGGCGAAGGCGGCUGCCUGGACCGAUAUUGACGCUGAGACGCGAAAGCGUGGGUAGCAAACAGGAUUAGAUACCCUGGUAGUCCACGCCGUAAACGAUGAGUACUAGGUGUCGCGGGUAUUGACCCCUGCGGUGCCGCAGCUAACGCAUUAAGUACUCCGCCUGGGAAGUACGGCCGCAAGGCUAAA